CCUACGGUGGCUGCAGUGGGGAAUAUUGGACAAUGGGCGAAAGCCUGAUCCAGCCAUGCCGCGUGUGUGAAGAAGGCCUUCGGGUUGUAAAGCACUUUCAGUGGGGAAGAAAGCCUUGGGGCUAAUACCCUCGAGGAAGAACAUCACCCACAGAAGAAGCACCGGCUAACUCCGUGCCAGCAGCCGCGAGUAAUACGGAGGGUGCGAGCGUUAAUCGGAAUUACUGGGCGUAAAGCGCGCGUAGGCGGUCUGAUAAGCCGGUUGUGAAAGCCCCGGGCUCAACCUGGGAACGGCAUCCGGAACUGUCAGGCUAGAGUGCAGGGGAGGAAGGUAGAAGUCCCGGUGUAGCGGUGAAAUGCGUAGAGAUCGGGAGGAAUACCAGUGGCGAAGGCGGCCUUCUGGACUGACACUGACGCUGAGGUGCGAAAGCGUGGGUAGCAAACAGGAUUAGAUACCCCAGUAGUC
rnacentral:rRNA from 1 species